CCACUGUUCUCUCAUCCGCCGUAAAAACCCUGCCGCCUCCAAUCAAAAUGGCCCGAAUUUAUGCAAUCCUUUGCUUUGUGAUACUUUCCCUAAUUUCUGUGGUCCGGUGUGGUCCCGUUUUUACGGUCUCAAUGCUUCCAACAAUCCAAAUUCCAUCCCUCUAUCCGUCCUCGGGCUCAUCGAUACCUGGACUUGCUAGCUUCCGUGGCAAGGGUUCGAUGCAAUACUCGGGAUAAAAAUUGAUACCAAUCUUAUUUGAAUUAUUUUCUCGAAUAUCAAGUUAAUCUAUUGAUACCAUUUUUAAACAAUGUUUCGGUUUCAUGAUUGAUAAAACAUUUGAAUAAAUAUCGGUUUUUGACCCCUUUUAACUCUUCAAAGGAAAUGUUUACUCACCUGAAUCAUUAAAAACUCCAUACUUUUUGCUAUUGACGCAUGUUUAUAAAUACAAAAAGCAUAUCCAGAAAUGAAGCCAUUAUACUUUGAGCUUUUGUACUAAGCUUGUCGUAAUCCCAAUCGAAAUGGAUCAAAUUAUUUUCACUCUUUGCGCUGGGAUCUUUUCGUUGGUUCCUCUGGUCCUUAGCAGUCCCAUGUACAAAGUUUGGGUGAUGUUACCUACAGAAGAUUAUCCGUAGUAAUAUGCAGCCUCGGGAAUAAUUCCAUUUUAAUUUUUUCUAACGAUUAAAUAAAGGAAGUUCAAAACUAAGGUGCAAGUUUAUUUUUUGAAAUAAGUUUUUUU